rnacentral:lncRNA from 10 species
CGCACUGCGAAAUAACAACAACCAUCUGCCGAAAUAAUCAUACAAAGAAUCGCGAUGAACAAUAACACAUAAGAGCUCUACGUGUUAGAGCUUUGCUCUAACCAACUUUGCUCUAGCCAAAUACUUGAGAGGACUCAUCUCAUUUAGACUCAGAUCCUCUUGGUGGAUGGUUUGGUUAUUACCAUUUUACAGGUGAAGAUGCUGAGGUCAAGUGGGUAUAAGGACCUUGCCCCAAAAGGUAGGGGAGCCAGAACUGAACCUGGGGCCAACCGACUCUCAAGCCUGGGAUCUGAUCACUAACCUAUUCUGCCUCCUUGGAGGACCUGACCCAGAGAUUCAGUCUACACGUUCCUGUUACCCAGAUACUGCAGUGGAAGGGCUGGGAGGGCAUCCUCCUGGCUUCCUGGAGCACGUGUCUGUCCAGCGCUGGAGUCAGCUGUUGCAGCCAAGACCUUCUCCAGGGGCUGUGUCCUGCACCAGAGGAGGAAACUGAGGUCCAGCAAAGGGAUGCAUCUUGCUGAGAGGCUACCACUUGGCAAGUGGGAAAGCCUGUAACGUACCAAAGAAAUCAUCAGGGACCAUCCCAAACCACUCUUUCCCAAACCGUGUUCCCCAGAACACUAAGUGGUUCUGUGGACAAAUAAGUUUGGGAAAUGCCACAUGUAUUUCUUCAGUCUGGAUGGUCAAUGUACAUGAACAUAGUAAAGG